CAAUUGCGAGGUAGCUGCCUACUACAACUCAGCAUUUCACUUUUUCUUCCUUUUUCUCAUCCAGUACCCACCUUUAAGCACAGAAAAAACUCAAUUCCAAUUUCAAAACUCUACCUCUCCCACGCCCAUCACCUCUCCUCAGCCUCAGUAUUGAUGGGAAUGGAACUCAUAAGAUUUUGCGUUAAGGAAGAGAAUGAUGACGUUCCAUCAGUUCCUCCUGGUUUUGAGUCGUAUGCUGCUUUCACUUUAAAGAGGGUCCAAGACGUUGAAAAACAAGAAACUCAAGGUGUAAUUACCUGUUCAGCCUCUGUAAGCUCUUCUGAAUUACAGUCAGUCAAGAUGGAAAUGGAUACCGACCCUUGUGCUGACACAAAAAUUAGAAGGUCUCUCCGGCGUAGAGCCUGGAUAAACUAUGGAAAAUUGGACAAUAAUAGUUCGGAGGAUGAAUCUGAUUUGGUAAAGCUUGAUCAAAAUCUCAGUUUAAGGCCUCAUCUUCCCAAGGGGGUUAUUCGUGGGUGUGCACAAUGCAGAAAUUGCCAAAAGGUCACUGCAAUAUGGCAUCCUGAAUGUGCUCGCAGGCCUGACCUUGAGUAUGCUCCUGUGUUCUACCCUACUGAAGAGGAGUUUGAGGAUACUAUGAAAUACAUAGCUAGCAUACGGCCAAAAGCUGAACCAUAUGGAAUAUGUCGCAUUGUUCCUCCUCCUUCUUGGAAACCUCCCUGUCCUCUGAAGGAAAAAUCUAUUUGGGAGGGUUCUACUUUUGCUACUCGUGUCCAGAGGGUUGACAAACUGCAGAAUCGAGCUUCAAUGAAAAAAAUGUCAAAGCUAUAUAACCACACCAGAAAGAAAAGGAGAACAUGCAUGAGAAUGGCAGUACAUUGUGGGGCAGAUAUUGGAAAUGUCUCAGGGAAUAAUGAUGCUGGUGUUUGUGAGGCUGAGUGUUUUGGGUUUGGACCUGGUCCAGAGUUUACUCUGUACACAUUUCAGAAAUAUGCGGAUGAUUUCACUGCCCAGUACUUCAGGAAGAAUGAUAUGAAUAAGGGAGGUAACAUGGCAGUUCUUCAUGAUAAAUGGGAGCCAACUGUGGAGAAUAUUGAAGGAGAAUAUUGGCGGAUUGUAGAGAAAGCGACUGAAGAGAUAGAGGUGCUUUAUGGGGCUGAUCUGGAAACUGGGUUUUUUGGCAGUGGGUUUCCAAAAUUGUUCAGUCAAGUUGGUUCUGAUGCAAAUGAACGUUAUGCAAAAUCUGGUUGGAACUUGAAUAACUUUCCGAGGCUUCCUGGAUCUGUCCUUUCUUAUGAAAGUGGUGAUAUAUCUGGUGUUUUAGUGCCAUGGUUGUAUAUAGGAAUGUGCUUUUCCUCCUUCUGUUGGCAUGUCGAAGAUCAUCACUUAUAUUCACUGAAUUACAUGCAUUGGGGUGCUCCAAAAAUGUGGUAUGGGGUCCCAGGGAAGGAUGCCAUUAAAUUGGAAGAGGUUAUGAGAAAGCAUUUACCUGAUCUUUUUGAAGAACAACCUGACUUACUGCAUAAGCUGGUGACACAGCUUUCUCCUUCUGUACUAAAAUCUGAAGGCGUACCAGUCUAUCGGUGUGUACAAAAUUCUGGAGAGUUUGUUUUAACAUUUCCUCGAGCAUAUCAUUCAGGGUUUAAUUGUGGCUUCAAUUGUGCGGAGGCAGUAAAUGUAGCCCCUGUUGACUGGUUGCCCCAUGGACAGAUUGCUAUAGAGCUUUAUCGUGAGCAGGCGCGAAAGACUUCCAUCUCCCAUGAUAAACUGUUGCUUGGAGCGGCAAGGGAAGCAGUGAGAGCUCAUUGGGAACUUAAUUUACUGAAAAAGAAUACAACAGAUAACUUAAGAUGGAAAGAUGUAUGUGGAAAGGAUGGAAUAUUAGCAAAAGCACUCAAGGAACGUGUGGAGAUGGAGCGUGUGAGGAGAGAAUUUCUUUGCAAAUCUUCACUGGUGCUGAAGAUGGAGAGCAAUUUUGAUGCCACAAAUGAAAGGGAAUGUAGUGUCUGCCUUUUUGAUUUGCACCUAUCUGCAGCAGGAUGUCCUUGUUCUCCAGAUAAGUAUGCAUGCUUGAAUCAUGCAAAGCAGAUGUGUUCAUGUGAUUGGGGUACCAAAUAUUUCCUAUUUCGCUAUGACAUCAGUGAAUUAAACAUCCUUGUUGAGGCAUUGGAAGGAAAAUUGAGUGCAGUUUACAGAUGGGCAAGAUUAGAUCUUGGACUGGCCCUGACAUCUUAUGUCUCCAAAGACAAUUUGCAAGAUUGUAAAUUUUCUUAUUUGCCAGAUAGAAGAGCACUUAAGGAGGCGAGAUCAAAAGCAUCAAUUGAUCUUCUUAGAGAUGUGGACGGUAAAGGAACCACCAGGGAAAUCACAUUGACUUCAAUGAAGAUCUUUGGUGAGACUUAUUCGGUAGAAAAAAAGACACCUUCUGAGGAAGGCACAGAGACAUCAUCUAUGUCCUGUAGUUCUUUUCAAGCAACUGAGAAUCAAAAUCACUAUUCAAAGUCAAAUGAAGAAUCCGUCCUUUCUUCUAUCAAUUUAAGGACAGCAGUAUGCCAGCUAUCUCGAGAAGACAUGUCCUAUGCUGGAGACCUCGCUUCAUCAGAAUGUGGAAUGAAAAAACCUUCAACUUUGGGCCAUGAUAAUAUUAGUCUUCGUAGUGAUGAUGAAGGUGACGAACCAAAGGAAUCAGUUGUAGAAAGAGCAACAGAAAUUUCUCUUGCAAAGCACUCAGAAUUUUCUAAGAGGUCAUCUAGUUCUGAUGAUGACCCCUGCAAUGACAAUAAACAUUCAAUCUUAAUUGCGCCUGUGACUGAUGCUGCAGUGAUUAGUAAAAAUGAUGUUAGUUCUUCCCCUGAUCCUGAUGGACAAAGGAAUAAUUGUAUAUUCAAUCUUGUAAAAGUGAAGGAUGACCAGAUUCAACAUCGUAAAAUAGUUCUUGCAUCUAAUGCAGCAGACAGCUCUUGCCAUGCAGGCUGUACUAGUGCAGGAUGUGGUAAGAAUGUUCAACAGUCUUCAAACAUGAGAGAGACCAGUAAGGAUCAAAAUAUGGCAAUUGCUAGGUGUCCACAGCCACAGCAUUGUGGCAUUGCAAAUCCUAAUGAUGAGGAUAAGAUGGGAGCAAAUGCCACAUCAAAUCCAGUGGAUAACUCAAGAACUAUGGCAGGUAGCCCAUCUUGCUCACAAAAUAAUUUGGACCGAUAUUUCCGCCAGAAGGGUCCCCGAAUUGCCAAGGUAGUGCGAAGGAUUAACUGUAAUGCUGAGCCUCUGGCCUUCGGAGUUAUACAUCCUGGAAAAUUGUGGUGUAACAGCCAGGCGAUAUUUCCCAAAGGAUUUAAGAGCCGGGUUAGAUACACAAGUGUUUUAGAUCCAACAAAUAUAUGUUACUAUGUUUCAGAAAUUCUGGAUGCAGGGCGAGAUAGACCUCUGUUCAUGGUUUCCUUGGAGCAUUGUCCAACUGAGGUAUUCGUUCACCUUUCCGCAGCCAGAUGCUGGGAAAUGGUGAGAGAGAGAGUAAAUCAAGAGAUUACAAAGCAACAUAAAUUGGGAAGAAUGAACUUACCUCCUUUGCAACCUCCUGGAAGUCUUGAUGGCUUUGAAAUGUUUGGGUUUUCUUCACCAGCAAUUGUUCAGGUAAAUUAACUGUGGGGCAGAUCAUCCUUUUUCCCUCUAAUCAUGUGCUUUCUUUCUUGUGUUUCUGGAUGACAGUUUUGUAUAUGGUACAGGUACUGCUUCCAUAGCACAUACAUCAUAAGAUUCUGUUUGUACUUUCACAGUUCCAUUUUAUUUUAAAUUGAGGGUGUUGGGGAUCUGAGGUUGAUCGCCAUCCAUGUUAGCGGGGAAUAGCUUCUUUGUUGAAAGAAUUAAAAAUGCACUUUAAAUGGCAAAAGUUGCAUUGGCAAUUCAUGGCAACUUCCUUAGAAAAUUUUUAUUUUUUAAUUCUUUAUGGAACAAAUGCUUGCAUUGAACAACAAAUUAUAUACAUCUUAUAUUUAUUUUCUUUAAACAGGCCAUAGAGGCAUUGGAUCGAAAUCGAGUUUGCUUAGGUUAUUGGGACUCCAGGCCCUACUCACGACCUCAGGGUCAGAUUCCACAACCUUCUCAACCCAAAGAAAGUGGAGGAUAUGUCAAGGGGACAUCUGAGGAACAUGAUAAUAGAGGGACUCCUGGGAGCAAUCUGCUACCUCAUGGAGUUGAUGAUACGAUACUUCGAGGCUUAUUCAAGAAGGCAAACCCAGAAGAAUUAUACACACUGAGUCGAAUUCUAAAUGAUGAUAAGCCAAAAGUUGAUGGAGGCUUAAUGACACUUCUUAAUGAAGAGAUUCACAAUCGCCCUAGAUAGUUCACUAAUUUGGUCUCACAAGGCUCUGAGACCGAAUUUGCCAUUGCAAUUUUUUUGUGACUGCUGUAAAUUCCAAAUUCUCACUGUCACCUUGCACAUACAUCUCCAUUUAAUCUACUAAAUUCUUUUACUUAAGAGAGAGAAAAGGAAAAGGAAGGAAAUAUUUUCUUGUGUAAUUCUUCUCCAUAGUUGCCAUUUAUGAAAGGAGAAGCUGACAAUGUAUCUGGUGGAUACUCCCAUUUUUGUGAUACAGUGAGCAGAAUGCCUUCAUGUGGGGUUAAACAUGCCAUCUGUAUUCUUCUUCUUGAUUCUUGACAUUUUCUUUGUCUAGGAGAUAUUCCUGACAUUGCUUGCUCCCUAAGCUGAUAAGCUGAGACAGGAUGAGAGAAACUCAUGGAGCUUCUUCUGAUGAAAAAAAAAAAGAAGAAAUUAACUAGAAUGGUUGAACUUGCCUACAAACACUUCAGUAGAAUAUUAUGAUGUUCUUGUGAAUCUUUCGUGGGCAUUUUAUUUAGCCCUAUUUUAUUGUGGGAUUUUUUUUUGCUUA
rnacentral:misc_RNA from 1 species